UGGAUCAAAAGUUAUAGAAUAACAAAAUUUUUACCUACGACAACAGUUAUUUUUUAUUUGUAACCUAUGAGGUAGGUAUAACCUAUGAUAGCGGUUAUUUAUAAUCACUGUGGUAGGUUGGAUCUAUGACGGUGGUUAUCUAUAAUUGCUGUCAUAAGUUAUGCCUACCACAUUGGUUAUAAUAAUCACUGCCAUAGGUCCGACGGUUAUCCGUAACUGCUACCAUAGGUUAUGCCUACUGCAGC
rnacentral:lncRNA from 1 species